UGGGGAAUAUUGCACAAUGGGGGAAACCCUGAUGCAGCGACGCCGCGUGGAGGAAGAAGGUCUUCGGAUUGUAAACUCCUGUUGUUGGGGAAGAUAAUGACGGUACCCAACAAGGAAGUGACGGCUAACUACGUGCCAGCAGCCGCGGUAAAACGUAGGUCACAAGCGUUGUCCGGAAUUACUGGGUGUAAAGGGAGCGCAGGCGGGAAGACAAGUUGGAAGUGAAAUCUAUGGGCUCAACCCAUAAACUGCUUUCAAAACUGUUUUUCUUGAGUAGUGCAGAGGUAGGCGGAAUUCCCGGUGUAGCGGUGGAAUGCGUAGAUAUCGGGAGGAACACCAGUGGCGAAGGCGGCCUACUGGGCACCAACUGACGCUGAGGCUCGAAAGUGUGGGUAGCAAACAGGAUUAGAUACCCUGGUAGUCCACACCGUAAACGAUGAUUACUAGGUGUUGGGAGGAUUGACCCCUUCAGUGCCGCAGUUAACACAAUAAGUAAUCCACCUGGGGAGUACGACCGCAAGGUUGAAACUCAAAGGAAUUGACGGGGGCCCGCACAAGCAGUGGAGUAUGUGGUUUAAUUCGACGCAACGCGAAGAACCUUACCAAGUCUUGACAUCCCUUGACAGACAUAGAAAUAUGUAAUCUCUUCGGAGCAAGGAGACAGGUGGUGCAUGGUUGUCGUCAGCUCGUGUCGUGAGAUGUUGGGUUAAGUCCCGCAACGAGCGCAACCCUUAUGGUCAGUUACUACGCAAGAGGACUCUGGCCAGACUGCCGUUGACAAAACGGAGGAAGGUGGGGAUGACGUCAAAUCAUCAUGCCCUUUAUGACUUGGGCUACACACGUACUACAAUGGCGUUAAACAAAGAGAAGCAAGACCGCGAGGUGGAGCAAAACUCAGAAACAACGUCCCAGUUCGGACUGCAGGCUGCAACUCGCCUGCACGAAGUCGGAAUUGCUAGUAAUCGUGGAUCAGCAUGCCACGGUGAAUACGUUCCC
rnacentral:rRNA from 1 species